AAUGAACGCUGGCGGUAGGCCUAACACAUGCAAGUCGAACGGCCGCACAGUAAGAGCUUGCUCUUACGGGUGGCGAGUGGCGGACGGGUGAGGAAUACAUCGGAAUCUACUUUUUCGCGGGGGAUAACGUAGGGAAACUUACGCUAAUACCGCAUACGACCUACGGGUGAAAGCAGGGGAUCUUCGGACCUUGCGCGAUUGAAUGAGCCGAUGUCGGAUUAGCUAGUUGGCGUGGUAAAGGCUCACCAAGGCGACGAUCCGUAGCUGGUCUGAGAGGAUGAUCAGGCAGACUGGCACUGAGACACGGUCCCGACACCUACGGGGGGAAGCGGUGGGGACUCUUGGACGAUGGGGGAAUGGCUGAUCCAGCCAUACCGCGUAGGUGAAGAAGGACUUCGGGUUGUAGAACCCUUUUGUUCGGAAAGUAAAGCAGCACUUUAAUACCCCGCUGUUAUGACGGUACCCAAAGAAUAAGCACCGGCUAACUUCGUG
rnacentral:rRNA from 1 species